ACAAAACAUAUGAAGAAUAAACAAACGGUACAGUACGUCCGCCAGGGUAGUGGCCGAACAGUUAAGUACAGCUGAUGAAGCAAUGGGUUGUUAAGGGUUCUAAGGUUAUCUUAUGAAAUACAUUGCACGUAACAAUACGCCCUGCCUCAUACUCUCCCUCCUACAGGCAGGUCUGGUGUUUGGUCUACUGGAUCGCCCUCCACACUUCAGCAUCCUCGGCUUCUUCUGUCUCAGUCGUGCCUGUUUCACAUCGAUUGCAGGGUUCAUCAUCUCCUACCUGGUGAUCGUCCUACAGUUCCGUGGUGCCCAGACGGUCCAGGAGUAUGGUCAUGAGGUGUCACAGGUCACAAGCGUCAACCAUUGACCUGUAUCUUUACUUGAGGCAACUAGAUUCACCUCAGCUUUGUGGUCACCUCGCUGCUGUGUCAACCUUUGCCAUCCGCUCUAGCAUUUGUGUUGGCCACCGUGGCACCUGUCAGAGCCGUAGCCAUACAUCUUUGUGCCCUGGGCAAGUGCAGUAAUUUAAUUAAGAACGUGUUUAGUGAUAAUAGCUUGUGUGUGUUAUUGAAAAUACUUGCAAAAUUUAACGAGUAACAAAAAUACAAAUGAUAAAUUUACAAAAUAAUAAAUAAACAUAUCUGGCUUCACUCAGGUUAGGUAUACGAGUAUAGGUACCGUAUAACCUGAACUGCCACAGCUUGUCCUCCCUGACACAGGUAACACCUCUUGCAAUUGCUGUGACAAUAUCUCAGUCGUGGAAGAUUUUUGGUUCUUGCCUGGACCACCCAUGGGUCAGUGGUUAAAAAUACUGUAAUACAAAGAGACAUAACUUUGGGACCCAUGUAAUAUUCGUGCCAAGUUUAAAGUCUCUAACUGCUACCGUUUUGGAGCUAUGAUUGAACACAGAAAGACAGACAAACUCACAGACACCUUUUUAUUAUUAUAGCUUGUAAAUAUAGGCAGUCAAACGGGUAGUUGUACAGUAGCUAAAACAACUAUUUGUGCAGGAGGGGGUCGAUAUGCUCCGAAAUUUUACGUGUGACUAGUGACAGCCCUCAUAUACCAAAAUUUAUCGUUCAUGGUCUCAUAUUGUUUCCCACAAGGUAUGCACAGAUAGUUGUUUUGGCUACUGUACAUCAUCCAGCACUACGUAUACACUGCCUGAUGUGCAGCACCAAGUUACAUUCUUACACAAAUGUUUUGUGAGAAAUUUAUUCAAUGUCUACUUUAAUACACCAUCUAGACCUAGA